GCGGCUCUGAAGGGCUGCGCAACUCGGUGCCGCUGCUCGCCGGGCACGGUUUUGGGUGCCGGCUCACCUCUCCUGAUUCGUGGUGCUCAGAAAGGUGGCAGUAAUGCUAACGCUGGCAAGCAAGUUGAAGUGGGAUGAAGAUCUCAAAGGAUCCCAGACAUCAGUGUCCACAUCUGACUCUACUCGGAGGUUUUCCAUGAGAGAUAAGUUGCUUGUUACAGAGGUUGCAGAACUUGAAGCUAAUUUACCUUGGACCUGUAAAGUACAUUUUCCUGAUCCAAACAAGCUUCAUUGCUUUCAGCUGACUGUAAGCCCAGAUGAGGGUUACUACCAGGGUGGAAAUUUUCAGUUUGAAAUUGAAGUUCCUGAUGCCUACAACAUGGUGCCUCCCAAGGUGAAAUGCUUGACUAAAAUCUGGCACCCCAACAUCACAGAAACGGGGGAAAUAUGUCUAAGUUUACUAAGAGAACAUUCCGCUGAUGGCACUGGCUGGGCUCCCACUCGAACAUUAAAGGAUGUCGUUUGGGGGUUAAACUCUUUAUUUACCGAUCUUUUGAAUUUUUAUGAUCCACUGAAUAUUGAAGCUGCAGAACAUCAUUUGCAGGACAAGGAGGAUUUUCGGGACAAAGUGGAUGAAUACAUCAGACGCUAUGCCAGAUGAUAAGAGGAGAGCUCGCAGGUCUGAGGACUUUGUCACAGUUGUCUCUGAUGUGAAACAGCUCGAGGUAGCCCUCCUCCCCAUCCUCAUACUUCCCGUCAGCCCCUUGGGAUUGUCCUAGUCCUGCGACCGUGCUGUCCUGAAGAAGAUCCUCCUGACUGCCCACUGUAGGUGGCGAACAUUAUACAGCAAGAACGUGUGUCUGGGUCUCGAGAGAGGUGUCUGCUUCCCUUAACGUGUUUACUGAAACUCCUAUCUAGGCUGUCUGGUGGAAUCCCUCCGAAGUUGUAACGAACUCACCCCUGAGGAGAUAGCGCUUGCUUCCUUUCCCCCAACAAUCGGUGUCCUGCACAGGUGAUGUAAUGACUUGUUCCAUGUGACUGGCGGAUUGGCAAUAAGAAACCCGCUAUAAACAGUGAUGGGAUGCACACUCUCUUAGCUUCUUCCAGGAACGCUGACCGAACCUAAAUGUGACACUUCCCAGAAUGCAGUCACUUACUGUAGUAGAUCUUACUGAAAUGCGUAUUUUAUUUAAUGUGAGUAUAUUUUGGGACAGAUUUGAAAUUUGUACCAAAAAAAUGUAACCGUUUAAUGUUUGGAUAGGGAAAAAAAUGAUGACACCUUUAUAAGAAGUAAUGUUAAACAAACCAACCAACCUCUGGGGGCCCAUGAGAUGGCUUAGCAGGUAAAAGUACUGGAGAAGAGAAUGGGAACCCUCUGACCGCCAUGCCCAGGCCUGUUCUCCCAGACCCCACAACACACUAUGCUAAUAAAUAAAACACGCUCUGACCAU